CCGCUGGAGCCGUGAACCGUGCCUUUUGGAGACGACAACAGAAAUACUGGAAACCCAAGCGGCUGGGAAUUGCUCCGUUCUUCCAGGUCAUCGUCGGUGGAAUGGUGUUUUUCUAUGCCAUCAACUGCAGCAAACGGAAACCA
rnacentral:lncRNA from 1 species